CCACACACUACAUUCACUAUAUACACACUACACAAACACACACACUCUGCAUUCAUUAUAUACACACUGCACAAAUAAACACUGCAUCUACUACACAAAUACUACACAAACGCACACAGCUCCCCUGUCUAAGCACACUGCAUCCACUACAUGUGGCAUGUGUAUUUUGUGCAUUUACCUUUAGAAAUAGUUUAUUUUUUCAAAAUGGUAAAUGUACAGAAUAUCG